AACGCACAUUGCGCCCCUUGGUAUUCCGAGGGGCAUGCCUGUCCGAGCGUCAUUACAACCCCUCCAGCUUGCUGGGUCUUGGGCCUUCGCCUCCGGGCGGGCCUUAAAAUCAGUGGCGGCCCUGCCGGGCCCUGAGCGCAGUAACUUCUCUCGCUACAGGGUCCCGACAGGUGCUGGCCAGCAACCCCCAUCUUUCUAAUGGUUGACCUCGGAUCAGGUAGGGAUACCCGCUGAACUUAA
rnacentral:misc_RNA from 1 species